UCCCUUAAGUUUGCCUGAAGAGAAUGCA
rnacentral:piRNA from 1 species